rnacentral:rRNA from 1 species
UACGUAGGGUGCAAGCGUUGUCCGGAAUUAUUGGGCGUAAAGAGCUCGUAGGCGGUCUGUCGCGUCUGCUGUGAAAACUCAGGGCUUAACCCUGAGCUUGCAGUGGGUACGGGCAGACUAGAGUGCGGUAGGGGAGACUGGAAUUCCUGGUGUAGCGGUGAAAUGCGCAGAUAUCAGGAGGAACACCGGUGGCGAAGGCGGGUCUCUGGGCCGUAACUGACGCUGGAGGAGCGAAAGCCAUGGGGGAGCGAACAGGA